UUCAGAGUCCUAGAGAAUGAAGCCCACUGUUUAUCCACAGAACAAGUACAGCAGGAACACUGACACUACACGCGCCUCACACUGCCCUGCCAAUCUGCACCACCUCUGACCUUUUAGCUCAACUUCCAUGCUCAUUCAAUUUAUUACCUUGCUUCUAAGACUGCU
rnacentral:sRNA from 1 species